GAUGAACGCUGGCGGCGUGCCUAAUACAUGCAAGUCGAGCGAACGGACGAGAAGCUUGCUUCUCUGAUGUUAGCGGCGGAGGGGUGAGUAACACGUGGAUACCGUCCUUUAAAUACGGGUAAAACUUCGGAAAACCGGAGCUAAUCCCGUAUAAUAUUUUGAACCGCAGGGUUCAAAAGUAAAAGACGGCCUUGCUGUCACUACUAGCGGGUUCCCGGCUGAAUGAGUUGGUUGUUAAGUUAACGGGUUACCAAGGCAACGAUGCAUGGCCGACCGGAGGGGGGGAUCGGCCACACUAGAACGGGGACACGGUCCAGACUCCUACGGGAGGCAGCAGUAGGGAAUCUUCCGCAAUGGGCGAAAGCCUGACGGAGCAACGCCGCGUGAGUGAUGAAGGUCUUCGGAUCGUAAAACUCUGUUAUUAGGGAAGAACAUAUGUGUAAGUAACUGUGCACAUCUUGACGGUACCUAAUCAGAAAGCCACGGCUAACUACGUG
rnacentral:rRNA from 1 species